GUAGGUGGCAAGCGUUGUCCGGAAUUAUUGGGGCGUAAAGCGCGCGCAGGCGGCUCUUUAAGUCUGAUGUGAAAGCCCACGGGCUCAACCGUGAGGGUCAUUGGAAACUGGAGAACUUGAGUACAGAAGAGGAAAGCGGUAUUCCACGUGUAGCGGUGAAAUGCGUAGAGAUGUGGAGGAACACCAGUGGCGAAGGCGGCUUUCUGGUCUGUAACUGACGCUGAGGCGCGAAAGCGUGGGGAGCAAACAGGAUUAGAUACCCUGGUAGUCCACGCCGUAAACGAUGAGUGCUAAGUGUUAGGGGGUUUCCGCCCCUUAGUGCUGCAGCUAACGCAUUAAGCACUCCGCCUGGGGAGUACGGCCGCAAGGCUG
rnacentral:rRNA from 1 species